CCUACGGGGGGCUGCAGUGGGGAAUAUUGGACAAUGGGCGCAAGCCUGAUCCAGCAAUGCCGCGUGAGUGAUGAAGGCCUUAGGGUUGUAAAGCUCUUUCGCACGCGACGAUGAUGACGGUAGCGUGAGAAGAAGCCCCGGCUAACUUCGUGCCAGCAGCCGCGGUAAUACGAAGGGGGCUAGCGUUGUUCGGAAUUACUGGGCGUAAAGGGCGCGUAGGCGGCCUGUUUAGUCAGAAGUGAAAGCCCCGGGCUCAACCUGGGAAUAGCUUUUGAUACUGGCAGGCUUGAGUGCCGGAGAGGAUGGUGGAAUUCCCAGUGUAGAGGUGAAAUUCGUAGAUAUUGGGAAGAACACCGGUGGCGAAGGCGGCCAUCUGGACGGACACUGACGCUGAGGCGCGAAAGCGUGGGGAGCAAACAGGAUUAGAUACCCGUGUAGUC
rnacentral:rRNA from 1 species